UCACAGGCACAAACCAGGAGCUACAGCAAU
rnacentral:piRNA from 1 species